UCCCAAGCCAGCAGCAUAAUCUGGAAGCUUGCUAGAAAUGCGGAAUCCUGGGCCCCAUCACAGAUCUGCUGAAUCAGAGUCCACACACAACAAGGUGUCCAAGUGGUUUGUAUGCACAUUCUUCAUGUGAGUCUGAGAGGUACUGGACUUCUACAUCACACCCUACCUCCUGCCACCAGGUGGGGUGGAGUGACAUCCACUCUGAGGUAGGUCAAACCAACCUCUGCCAUUGAGGGACAAGGAUGCCAGCUAUCACCAUUGAGGGACGAGGGAGAAAGCAUGGAGUUGGACAUGGAAGUUGUGACAGUAACCUCUAGAGGAACAGAUGAUCAUUAUUGCCAUCUUACAGAUGAAGCAACUGAGGCACACAGAGAUCAAGUGACUUGUCCAGACUCACACAGGCCCCCACAGUGGUCUGGACACAAUGGUCUUCAUCCCUGUUGCUGACUAAUACAGAUCAGGAAGAAGAUGCACAGGAGUCUUUUUCUAUGCAAAACAAGGAAGAUGACUAAGGAGAUGAGAGAUGCAACCAAAGCUUCUCUCAAGUUGCACUUGCUGACCCAAUUAUCAAAGUUGAGCAUUCCUGAAGUUGACAGCACACACAUGGAGGAAAACCGCUCUUCAGCCAAGCCAAGGAAAGCUGUCAGUUUGACAAUAAUGAAAAAAAUAAAUAAAUAAAGCAUU